CUGAUGAGUUCUUGCGCCACGGACUUGAUUCCCCCAUGUUAAAUUCCUUGCUGGCCUUGCUCGUCCCACCUGCACGCACCUCUGCAGCUCGACUCACUGGUGCGGCCACGGGUGGAGCCUGAUUUGGCUCCCUGUACUUUUGCUCAAUAUCUCAGGCCGGUCAACGGUGAUGUAGGGAUAGCAGGAGUAGAUUGGAAGUUGCGGUUUGGAGGAGGCCCGUCAGAUCAUCUUCAUCCUCGACAGUGGUAGCCUGACUUCGGUGGCUCAUUCUUCCACCUGUGGUUCCUCCCUUCUCCCUUUUGCUACCUCUCACUCUUUUUUUCCUGUUUGUUAUCCUUUUUCUACACGUGUAUGGCUGAACAAAUAUAGUGAAAUUAAGGCACAACUUGUUAGUUAAAGAUGUAAAUCUAUUUAUGCCCGUCCACUUUUCCGUAUUUGGGACCGGUAUUGGCAGUGUAGGCCCCUCCUGCGCCCAUUCAUAUUCAACAAAUUUAAUAAGUAAUUAGUUAUUUGAGAUUAGCUAUUGCUGCACUAUUUCCCAAAGAUAGAAUUAAGUUUAAUAAGUGAAUAUGAAAUAGGUGCUAUUGCAUUCUACAUGUGAACUAUAAUGAUGCGUGGAUGUUGUCACUAUUGGCAUGUUCAAUAGAAUAAGCUUCAAAUAUCAGAUAAUAUAUAGUGCCCACACUUUUUAUUAUUGAGCUAUUUCCAUCAAAUGUUGAUGCAUGUUUCCAGUACUUGUGGCAGUAGUAGUUCAUAUUCGUCCUGCGACUUCUGCCAUAUUAGCAUACAAAAGCCAUUUUUAUUUUGAAUACAGUUUGCAGUGUACUAAUUUUCUAUCCACUUAUGGUUACCUAAAAAGGCUAGUAGCAACUGUAAGUGUGAUUUUAGUACCUACCUUUAGAAUAUUUCAGUGUAGCUUAUUUUCUUGACCACAUCAUCCUCAUUUUAGUUCAUUUGCUAUAGAAAAGAAAAUAAGAAAUGUGAUAAAGUCAGUAGGUUAUCAAUUGCGAGUGUUUUUUCCAAAGUAUUCCCUUUCUCUUAUGUCUCUCAUGAAGUCCUUGAGCUUUAUGUAGAAAUUAUAUCAACAAUAUCAGGUCUUUCUUAUGUUGCUUAGCCUACUUCUUGUAGCAUAGAUUGAUUCUCCGGCCAAGCCGCGUUGCACAUGAAAGUCACAAAUAAUUCUGUGUAUCCAACCCACCCGUAUAUUACCAUAGCAUUUUGAUAGUUUAUUUUUUUUGUCUUGGGCUAUUUAUGAAGUUGGAUUGCGCAUGGUAGUAGUAUUCUCCUUCGCACCUGUUCAGCCCUUGUAUCUCCUCUUUCUAUUGCCUCUUGCAAGCGAGCAUAUAAUUCCGUUCUUAGGUUUACUUGAUGUCUUUUGAUCGAACCUAGUAUGUACUGCAAAAUUCGUGCAAGCUCAUCCACAUUUAACUGUAAUUUAAGCUUUUCAUACACCAUCAAGUGUUCCAAUUGGUUAAUAUGUUGUUGUAUAUGAUUCUCAUAUUAUUCUAACAUUGUUGCAUUUUUCUCUUGCCCUAUGCACCUUCUUUCAUAUGUAAUGUACAUUUCCUCUGUACCCAUCUUCUCCGUAGGAGCGCAUUAGUGGCACUGCAGAGCCAUGAAUUUUGAAUGGUUCUAUGGUAUUCUUCUUGGCCACGUGUCUCUGUACUCAACAAUGAUAUCCAAUCAUUUUCUAUUCUCUGUUGUAUCAUUCACAAUCAAGGCUGCAACUUCAAUUGAAGAUGUCAUGUUGCGUGAUAUUAAUCUCAUGUUGUGAUAGUCACCUUCGAAUUUAUCCCUUGCCAUUCUGAGUUUUUUUGCUAGUCUAUUAUCUCUAUCAAACAUAGUUUUAAGCCUUAGGAUCUGCUGGCUCCAUUUUAUCUUCUAAUGUUGAUGCAUUAAUCCUAUUUUUUCACCUCAUCUGUAGUGGCAUAGGUGUACAACAACGUGUUGUGUGGUUUGUCCUUACCUUCAAGAUCGUAGAGUACAUAUUUGGUGGUCUUUUUGGCCAUUCGUUCUGAAUACAUAAGAUGGUACUUACUGGAGAUGGUCUGCUUGCUCGAUGGAGCCGAUGGCGCAGUCGAGGAGAUUGGGGCACUCGUAGAUUUUUUUUGGGAAAGCCAUUGUGGCUGUGUAUAUCAAUUUGGAAUAAUAUCUACAUAAUCCACAAGAAUCAGUAAGAAAAGCUGGAGACUUGCCCUGUGAUGGGUGUCAGUAACC